rnacentral:rRNA from 1 species
AGAGUUUGAUCAUGGCUCAGGACAAACGCUGGCGGCGUGCCUAACACAUGCAAGUCAAGGAGAACGUCCCCUUCGGGGGAUUAUUAAACUGGCGUACGGGUGAGUAACGCGUAGGCAACCUGCCCUAGAGACCGGGACAACCCAUCGAAAGAGGGGCUAAUACCGGAUAAUGCAGCGGAUCCUCCGGGAUAUGUUGUUAAAGGGGCCUUAGGGUCCCGCUUUGGGAUGGGCCUGCGUCCGAUUAGUUAGUUGGUGAGGUAAAUGCUCACCAAGGCGAUGAUCGGUAGCUGGUCUGAGAGGAUGAUCAGCCACACUGGGAUUGAGAUACGGCCCAGACUCCUACGGGAGGCAGCAGUGGGGAAUCUUGCGCAAUGGGCGAAAGCCUGACGCAGCAACGCCGCGUGACCGAUGAAGCUCCUAGGAGUGUAAAGGUCUGUCAUGAGGGAAGAACAGUAUCUAUGUAAAUAGCAUGGAUAUUUGACGGUACCUCAUAAGAAAGCACCGGCUAACUUCGUGCCAGCAGCCGCGGUAAUACGAGGGGUGCUAGCGUUGUCCGGAAUCACUGGGCGUAAAGGGCGCGUAGGCGUCUUGGCAAGCCUUGAUUGAAAUCCCCCGGCUCAACCGGGGAACUGGUCAGGGAACUGCCAAGAUAGAGUUUGGUAGGGGAGAGUGGAAUUCCUGGUGUAGCGGUGAUAUGCGUAGAUAUCAGGAGGAACACCUAAAGCGAAGGCAGCUCUCUGGGCCAAUACUGACGCUGAGGCGCGAAAGCGUGGGGAGCAAACAGGAUUAGAUACCCUGGUAGUCCACGCUGUAAACGAUGAGAACUAGGUGUAGCGGGUAUUGACCCCUGCUGUGCCGCAGCUAACGCAUUAAGUUCUCCGCCUGGGGAGUACGGCCGCAAGGCUAAAACUCAAAGGAAUUGACGGGGGCCCGCACAAGCGGUGGAGCAUGUGGUUUAAUUCGACGCAACGCGAAGAACCUUACCUGGGCUUGACAUCCUCUGACCGCCCUGGAAACAGGGUCUUCCCGACUCUGUCGGGACAGAGUGACAGGUGCUGCAUGGCUGUCGUCAGCUCGUGUCGUGAGAUGUUGGGUUAAGUCCCGCAACGAGCGCAACCCUUGUCUUUAGUUGCCAGUAUUAAGUUAGGCACUCUAAAGAGACUGCCUCGGUUAACGAGGAGGAAGGUGGGGAUGACGUCAAGUCCUCAUGGCCUUUAUGCCCAGGGCUACACACGUGCUACAAUGGACGGCACAAAGGGUCGCUAAUCCGCGAGGAGGAGCUAAUCCCAAAAAGCCGUUCACAGUUCGGAUCGAAGUCUGCAACUCGACUUCGUGAAGGUGGAAUCGCUAGUAAUCGUGGAUCAGCAUGCCACGGUGAAUGCGUUCCCGGGCCUUGUACACACCGCCCGUCACACCACGAAAGUCGACUGUACCAGAAGUUACUGGGCUAACCCGGCACUCAACUCUGGAUUCAAGAUCGUAUUUUAGAAAGUGUAAUUAUAUGAUGUGUUUUUUGAAUUUGGGGUUGAGUGCCGGGAGGCAGGUGCCUAAGGUACGGCCGGUAAUUGGGGUGAAGUCGUAACAAGGUAA